rnacentral:misc_RNA from 1 species
AACGCACAUUGCGCCCCCUGGUACUCCGGGGGGCAUGCCUGUCUGAGCGUCAUCGCACAACCCCUCGGGCCCCGGCCCGGUGGUGGGGCAGGACGCGGCUCCGGCCGCGCCCGUCCCCAAAUCGAUCGGACGGCGGCCCCGGCUCCGGGCACGCGUACGUGUUUGAUCAGCCCCUGCGGCGAACCUCACGCAACGCGGCGCAACGGCGACCGGGGACCCGCGGAAGGGUCCGCCCGGCCUCCCAAGGUCGGGGGAAUCAGAGCACUUGACCUCAGAUCAGGUAGGGAUACCCGCUGAACUUAA